UACGAAGGGGGCUAGCGUUGUUCGGAAUUACUGGGCGUAAAGCGCGCGCAGGCGGUUUUUUAAGUCAGGGGUGAAAGCCCAGAGCUCAACUCUGGAAUUGCAUUGGAUACUGGCAGGCUAGAGUGCGGUAGAGGGUAGUGGAAUUCCCGGUGUAGCAGUGAAAUGCGUAGAGAUCGGGAGGAACAUCCGUGGCGAAGGCGACUACCUGGACCAGCACUGACACUGAGGCACGAAAGCGUGGGGAGCAAACAGG
rnacentral:rRNA from 1 species